UCUCCGUAGGUGAACCUGCGGAGGGAUCAUUACAGAGUUCAUGCCCUACUGGGUCGAUCUCCAACUUUAUGUCAUUUUUUUUUUGUUGCCUUCUCGGGCCGCUUGGCCCCGGCCCGACUACCGGUCCCGGCUGGAACGCGCCCGUCAGAGGACCCAUUACCCUGAAUAUUAUUGUCGUCUCAGUACUAUAUAACAGUUAAAACUUUCAACAACGGAUCUCUUGGUUUCGGCAUCGCUGAAGAACGCAGUAGAUUGGCACAGCAUACGCUCGUACUCCAU
rnacentral:misc_RNA from 1 species